GAUGAAGAACGCAGCGAAAUGCGAUACGUAAUGUGAAUUGCAGAAUUCAGUGAAUCAUCGAAUCUUUGAACGCAUAUUGCGCUCUCUGGUAUUCCGGAGAGCAUGCUUGUUUGAGUAUCAGUAAACACCUCAACUUCCAUAUCUUUUUUUGAAAUGGGAGUUGGACUUGAGUGAUCCCAACGCUUUUCCUCACCGAAAAGUGGCGGGUUACUUGAAAUGCAGGUGCAGCUGGACUUUUCUCUGAGCUAUAAGCAUAUCUAUUUAGUCUGCCUAAAAAACAGAUUAUUACCUUUGCUGCAGCUAACAUAAAGGAGAUUAGUUCUUGUGCUGACUGAUGCAGGAUUCACAAAGACAGCUUCGGCCGACUUUGUAAACUCGAUCUCAAAUCAAGUAAGACUACACGCUGAACUUAAGCAUAUCAAUAAGCGGAGGA
rnacentral:misc_RNA from 1 species